GGGCUAUAGGUCUUUCAGGAUAUGAUUUUUGGUGGUGCAUGGCCGUUGGUGGUGCGUGGGUUGACCUGUCUAGCGUUGAUUCAGAUAACGAGCGAGAUUAUCACCAAUUAAAUAUAUAAAUAUUUUUAUUAAAAUAAUUUAUUUUCUAAUUGGGACUCCCUGCGUCUAAGCAGGAGGAAGAUGA
rnacentral:rRNA from 1 species